GAUGAACGCUGGCGGCGUGCCUAAUACAUGCAAGUCGAGCGAACGGACGAGAAGCUUGCUUUUCUGAUGUUAGCGGCGGACGGGUGAGUAACACGUGGAUAACCUACCUAUAAGACUGGGAUAACUUCGGGAAACCGGAGCUAAUACCGGAUAAUAUUUUGAACCGCAUGGUUCAAAAGUGAAAGACGGUCUUGCUGUCACUUAUAGAUGGAUCCGCGCUGCAUUAGCUAGUUGGUAAGGUAACGGCUUACCAAGGCAACGAUGCAUAGCCGACCUGAGAGGGUGAUCGGGCACACUGGAACUGAGACACGGUCCAGACUCCUACGGGAGGCAGCAGUAGGGAAUCUUCCGCAAUGGGCGAAAGCCUGACGGAGCAACGCCGCGUGAGUGAUGAAGGUCUUCGGAUCGUAAAACUCUGUUAUUAGGGAAGAACAUAUGUGUAAGUAACUGUGCACAUCUUGACGGUACCUAAUCAGAAAGCCACGGCUAACUACGUG
rnacentral:rRNA from 1 species